GUCGGGCCCCAGGCCUGUGGUGCUGAGCGGGCCUUCGGGAGCUGGGAAGAGCACCCUGCUGAAGAGGCUGCUCCAGGAGCACAGCGGCAUCUUUGGCUUCAGCGUGUCCCGUCUCUCUGCUAGAUACCACGAGGAACCCGAGGCCCGGCGAGGAGAACGGCAAAGAUUACUACUUUGUAACCAGGGAGGUGAUGCAGCGUGACAUAGCAGCCGGCGACUUCAUCGAGCAUGCCGAGUUCUCGGGGAACCUGUAUGGCACGAGCAAGGUGGCGGUGCAGGCUGUGCAGGCCAUGAACCGCAUCUGUGUGCUGGACGUGGACCUGCAGGGUGUGCGGAACAUCAAGGCCACCGAUCUGCAGCCCAUCUACAUCUCUGUGCAGCCACCUUCACUGCAUGUGCUGGUGUGUGCUGGGCAGGGUUGGGGGCUGGGGGCCAGGGCAUGCCAGGCUCUGAUUGCCACCCCCUUUUUAGGAGCAGCGGCUGCGGCAGCGCAACACUGAAACGGAGGAGAGCCUGGUGAAGCGGCUGGCUGCUGCCCAGGCCGACAUGGAGAGCAGCAAGGAGCCCGGCCUGUUUGAUGUGGUCAUCAUUAACGACAGCCUGGACCAGGCCUACGCAGAGCUGA
rnacentral:sRNA from 1 species